GUUUACUUUGAACAAAUCAGAGUGCUUCAAACAGGCGUUUUCGCUUGAAUGAUCGUGCAUGGAAUAAUAGAAAACGAUUUCGGUUCAGUUUUAUUGGUUUUACGGACUGAGAUAAUGGUUAACAGAGACAAACGGGGGCAUUUGUAUGGCCCCGUGAGAGGUGAAAUUCUUGGACCGUGGCCAGACAAACUACAGCGAAAGCAUUUGCCAAGAAUGUCUUCAUUAAUCAAGAACGAAAGUCAGAGGUUCGAAGGCGAUCAGAUACCGCCCUAGUUCUGACCGUAAACGAUGCCAACUAGCGAUCCGCCGAUGGAAAUUAUAUUGCCUUGGUGGGGAGCUUCCCAGAAACGAAAGUCUUCCGGUUCCGGGGGAAGUAUGGUUGCAAAGCUGAAACUUAAAGGAAUUGACGGAAGGGCACCACCAGGAGUGGAGCCUGCGGCUUAAUUUGACUCAACACGGGGAAACUCACCCGGCCCGGACACUGUGAGGAUUGACAGAUUGAUAGCUUUUUCAUGAUUCAGUGGAUGGUGGUGCAUGGCCGUUCUUAGUUCGUGGAGUGAUUUGUCUGGUUUAUUCCGAUAACGAGCGAGACUCUAACCUACUAAAUAGCUGGUACAUAAUUUUAGUGUAUACAGCUUCUUAGAGGGAUUUGCGGUGUUCAGCCGAAAGAAAUUGAGCAAUAACAGGUCUGUGAUGCCCUUAGAUGUCCGGGGCUGCACGCGCGCUACACUGGCAAAAUCAACGUGCUUGUCCUACCCCGAAAGGGGCGGGUAAACCAUUGAAAAUUUGCCGUGAUUGGGAUCGGAAAUUGCAAUUAUUUUCCGUGAACGAGGAAUUCCAAGUAAGUGCGAGUCAUCAGCUCGCGUUGAUUACGUCCCUGCCCUUUGUACACACCGCCCGUCGCUGCCCGGGACUGAGCCAUUUCGAGAAAUUUGGGGACCGUUGAUUUAAUUUUUCUAAAUUACUUUGAUGGAAACCAAUUUAAUCGCAGUGGCUUGAACCGGGCAAAAGUCGUAACAAGGUAGCUGUAGGUGAACCUGCUGCUG
rnacentral:rRNA from 1 species